AUGAACGCUAGCUACAGGCUUAACACAUGCAAGUCGAGGGGCAGCAUGGACAUAGCUUGCUAUGUUUGAUGGCGACCGGCGCACGGGUGCGUAACACGUAUCCAAUCUGCCCGUCACUCGGGGAUAGCCUUCCGAAAGGGAGAUUAAUACGAGAUGGUGUUCUAAUUCCGCAUGUUAUUAGAACUAAAGAUUCAUCGGUAACGGAUAGGGAUGCGUGACAUUAGAUAGUUGGCGGGUAACGGCCCACCAAGUCUACGAUGUCUAGGGGUUCUGAGAGGAAGGUCCCCCACACUGGAACUGAGACACGGUCCAGACUCCUACGGGAGGCAGCAGUGAGGAAUAUUGGUCAAUGGGCGCAAGCCUGAACCAGCCAAGUAGCGUGAAGGAUGAAGGUUCUAUGGAUUGUAAACUUCUUUUAUACGGGAAUAAAACCUCCCACGUGUGGGAGCUUGUAUGUACCGUAUGAAUAAGCAUCGGCUAACUCCGUG
rnacentral:rRNA from 1 species